rnacentral:rRNA from 1 species
GUGGGGAAUAUUGGACAAUGGGGGGAACCCUGAUCCAGCCAUGCCGCGUGUGUGAAGAAGGCCUUUUGGUUGUAAAGCACUUUAAGCGGGGAGGAGGCUCUUGAGGAUAAUACCCUUGAUGAGUGGACGUUACCCGCAGAAUAAGCACCGGCUAACUCUGUGCCAGCAGCCGCGGUAAUACAGAGGGUGCGAGCGUUAAUCGGAUUUACUGGGCGUCAAGCGUGCGUAGGCGGCUGAAUAAGUCGGAUGUGAAAUCCCCGAGCUUAACUUGGGAAUUGCAUACGAUACUGUUUGGCUAGAGUAUGGGAGAGGAUGGUAGAAUUCCAGGUGUAGCGGUGAAAUGCGUAGAGAUCUGGAGGAAUACCGAUGGCGAAGGCAGCCAUCUGGCCUAAUACUGACGCUGAGGUACGAAAGCAUGGGGAGCAAACAGGAUUAGAUACCCUAGUAGUCC